AGUGAACGCUGGCGGUAGGCCUAACACAUGCAAGUCGAACGGUAACACAGGGAGCUUGCUCCCGGGUGACGAGCGGCGGACGGGUGAGUAAUGUCUGGGAAACUGCCUGAUGGAGGGGGAUAACUACUGGAAACGGUAGCUAAUACCGCAUAACGUCGCAAGACCAAAGAGGGGGACCUUCGGGCCUCUUGCCAUCAGAUGUGCCCAGAUGGGAUUAGCUAGUAGGUGGGGUAACGGCUCACCUAGGCGACGAUCCCUAGCUGGUCUGAGAGGAUGAACCGCCACACUGGAACUGAGACACGGUCCAGACUCCUACGGGAGGCAGCAGUGGGGAAUAUUGCACAAUGGGCGCAAGCCUGAUGCAGCCAUGCCGCGUGUAUGAAGAAGGCCUUCGGGUUGUAAAGUACUUUCAGCGAGGAGGAAGGCAUUGUGGUUAAUAACCACAGUGAUUGACGUUACUCGCAGAAGAAGCACCGGCUAACUCCGUGCCAGCCGCCGCCGUAA
rnacentral:rRNA from 1 species